rnacentral:rRNA from 1 species
UACGUAGGGGGCAAGCGUUGUCCGGAUUUAUUGGGCGUAAAGAGCGUGUAGGCGGUUUGGUAGGUCCGUUGUGAAAACUCGAGGCUCAACCUCGAGACGCCGAUGGAAACCAUCAGACUAGAGUCCGGAAGAGGAGAGUGGAAUUCCUGGUGUAGCGGUGAAAUGCGCAGAGACCCGGAGGAACACCAGUGGCGAAGGCGGCUUCCUGGUCUGCGACUGACGCUGUGGCGCGAAAGCUAGGGGAGCAAACGGG